rnacentral:rRNA from 1 species
AUACAUGCAGUCGAGCGGACAGAUGGGAGCUUGCUCCCUGAUGUUAGCGGCGGACGGGUGAGUAACACGUGGGUAACCUGCCUGUAAGACUGGGAUAACUCCGGGAAACCGGGGCUAAUACCGGAUGCUUGNNNNAACCGAGCNNGGUUACAAACAUAAAAGGUGNCUUNGNCUACCACUNACNGAUGGACCCGNGGCGCAUUAGCUAGUUGNNGAGGUAAUGGCUCACCAAGGCGACGAUGCGUAGNCGACNUGAGAGGGUGAUCGGCCACACUGGGACUGAGAACACGGCCCAGACUCCUACGGGAGGCAGCAGUAGGGAAUNUUCCGCAAUGGACGAAAGUCUGACGGAGCAACGCCGCGUGAGUGAUGAAGGUUUUCGGAUCGUAAAGCUCUGUUGUUAGGGAAGAACAAGUACCGUUCGAAUAGGGCGGUACCUUGACGGUACCUAACCAGAAAGCCACGGCUAACUACGUGCCAGCAGCCGCGGUAAUACGUAGGUGGCAAGCGUUGUCCGGAAUUAUUGGGCGUAAAGGGCUCGCAGGCGGUUUCUUAAGUCUGAUGUGAAAGCCCCCGGCUCAACCGGGGAGGGUCAUUGGAAACUGGGGAACUUGAGUGCAGAAGAGGAGAGUGGAAUUCCACGUGUAGCGGUGAAAUGCGUAGAGAUGUGGAGGAACACCAGUGGCGAAGGCGACUCUCUGGUCUGUAACUGACGCUGAGGAGCGAAAGCGUGGGGAGCGAACAGGAUUAGAUACCCUGGUAGUCCACGCCGUAAACGAUGAGUGCUAAGUGUUAGGGGGUUUCCGCCCCUUAGUGCUGCAGCUAACGCAUUAAAGCACUCCGCCUGGGGGAGUACGGUCGCAAGACUGAAACUCAAAAGGAAUUGACGGGGGCCCNCNCCAAGCGGUGGAGCNUGUGGUUUAAUUCGAAGCAACGCGAAGAACCUUACCAGGUCUUGACAUCCUCUGACAAUCCUAGAGAUAGGACGUCCCCUUCGGGGGCAGAGUGACAGGUGGUGCAUGGUUGUCGUCAGCUCGUGUCGUGAGAUGUUGGGUUAAGUCCCGCAACGAGCGCAACCCUUGAUCUUAGUUGCCAGCAUUCAGUUGGGCACUCUAAGGUGACUGCCGGUGACAAACCGGAGGAAGGUGGGGAUGACGUCAAAUCAUCAUGCCCCUUAUGACCUGGGCUACACACGUGCUACAAUGGACAGAACAAAGGGCAGCGAAACCGCGAGGUUAAGCCAAUCCCACAAAUCUGUUCUCAGUUCGGAUCGCAGUCUGCAACUCGACUGCGUGAAGCUGGAAUCGCUAGUAAUCGCGGAUCAGCAUGCCGCGGUGAAUACGUUCCCGGGCCUUGUACACACCGCCCGUCACACCACGAGAGUUUGUAACACCCGAAGUCGGUGAGGUAACCUUUAGGAGCCAGCCGCCGAAGGUG